rnacentral:lncRNA from 1 species
GGAGUCUGGUCAGGGACGUCGGUACCAGCGUCUCGCGGGUUCUGAUGCAGAGUGGGUAAUUACCCACUCUGCCAAGUCCCUGGAAGGAAACAGCAGUGUCCGCAGCGGUGCUGGGAGCACCUCCUCCGGGUCUGCAGGGGACGGCGCUUUUCAGGGCGCAGUUCUGCGCAUGUGCUCCGCUGGCGCCAGCCGACGCUUCCGGCUGCUUGUAGCGUGGAGUUCAAAAUCCUUGGCUUGGCUUCUCCGGUCACGCACCAUGCGGCCCCUGCCUGUCCAGGAGCCUCAUUUGGUUAUUCUCCCACGGGUCCGUUGCCGCUGGGCUCCAGCCGGCGCCCUGGCAGCCUGAUCCUCCACCCGCCCCCACUCUGCGACCUGGAGCGUGACCCUCCCUCUGUCUGGUGACUUCCAGUGUGACCUUCCUCCGCCACGACAAGGACCCGCCUGGGUUACCUGCCGCACGUGACGGUGCCCUUGCCGCUCGCCCUGUGGCAUGAUUAAUUUGUGGAGCUGUUUGUUUAGUGGGCGUGUGUCCCAGGAGACUGCAGCCUCAAAGAGGGCGGGCCGUGUUGGCCUUUGUUCACCGCUGCAACCCAAUCCCCGCUUGGUGCUGGAGCGAGAAAACGUUCUCUGUCCACGUGAGCUAUAAUUUGAGAACACACAGACACACGCUCAGGACAUUUCAUCACGAAAUAAGUUCCAUGUCGUGUUCACUUUUAACAAUGUCACUAGGAGUUUGGAACCAUACCAUGAAGCCAAACGCAGGGAUUAUCUGAGCGGGUGAAGAGAUUACGAUUUUAAUAGAAUCCGGAGUGAGGUACCCGAGGAAGCCAGAAUGAAACAGCAUUUUAAAAUAUAUUGCAACGUGAGCAUCAGAACCUCUUGGUUUUUUUAAAGCACAGAAAAGAAAAAUGACAAGACUCAUGUCAUUAAUUACAUUCUCAAAGAAAAUAAGGUCAGUGUAAGAGGAAAUAAUCUAAAAUUGCAGGACGGGGGAUUCUCAUUGGAUCAAGGCAUGAAGGAAACUUCAAGGAUGUCAGUGGUUUAUCAAGGAAGUGCUAGAAUUUUCCUCGGAUACAACUGUUCGAAGCCGAGCCAACCUUCCAUGGUAAGAGGUGCAGACGUGUGCCUCAGCUGCUAAGGGCCUUCCAGGCUGUUUCCUGUGCACCAACUUCCUCUGCUUCCUUGGUGUCUAAACCCAUGGUCAAAGCACUAUUCACGAAAAGUGUGUUAAUGUUUUAAGUUAAUUUGAACUUUAAAAAUUAUUGAUCCAUAAGGAAAAAUAUGUCUGCUUUGUGGUCCUGAAUAUUUUACAAGAACCUUGAUUGCUUUAGUGACUCUUAAUUCACAACAGUGCUGGGAUAUUCAACAAAUGAAAUCACUUUUCAGAAACAGGAUCAGAAUCUGCUACUUCCUGCCCCUCAGCCUGCCUUUCCAAACCCUCAAGUGGCACCUGGUGUAGACACCAUGGAUCUCAACAGCAGUACUUUAGCCUGAUGCCUAGAGCCUCUUACACUUUUAUGGAAGUGGCCUGAGCAGUGUUUGUGACAGGAUUGGUGGUGUCUCCAUGUUUCUCUCUUGCACCGUCCCACCCUGACCUGUGGGGGGAGGGAGGGAGGAAGGAAGGAAGAAGUGGGGAAGGGUGUCUGGUGUCAGAUGCUUACAACAGGAAUUGCUCACCUGCAGAAAGGCAAGUAUUGUUUCUUCAAGAAUUUGUAUGAAUUUGAUUUUGUGAAUUUCAGCUCUUUCUUAGAAGCUUAGCAAAAAAUGUGGUAUAAACAUUUGAAAUAAAAAAAUGCAGUAAGCAACAGAGUGAGAUCUUGUCUCUACAAAAAAAUUUUAAAAGAAUUAGCUGAGUGUGGUGGUGGCACCUGCAGUCCCAACUACUCAGGAGGCUGAGACAGGAGGACGGCUUGAGCCCAGGAGGUCAAGGCUUCAGUGAGCUGUGAUUGAGUCACUGCACUCCAGCCUGGGGGACAGAGCAAGACUUCAACUUAAAAAAAAAAAAAA